rnacentral:rRNA from 1 species
UACGGGGGGGGCAAGCGUUGUUCGGAAUUACUGGGCGUAAAGGGCUCGUAGGUGGCCAACUAAUUCAGACGUGAAAUCCCUCAGCUUAACUGGGGAACUGCGUCUGAUACUGGAUGGCUUGAGAUUGGGAGAGGGAUGCGGAAUUCCAGGUGUAGCGGUGAAAUGCGUAGAUAUCUGGAGGAACACCGGUGGCGAAGGCGGCAUCCUGGACCAACACUGACACUGAGGAGCGAAAGCCAGGGGAGCAAACGGG